rnacentral:rRNA from 1 species
CUGGCGGUGUGCUUUAUGCAUGCAAGUCGAACGGACAUUAGCAAUAACGUUAGUGGCAAACGGGUGAGUAACACGUAAGUAACCUGCCCUUAAGUGGGGGACAACUCUGAGAAAUCGGAGCUAAUACCGCAUGUGAUGGCGAAGCACAAGCUUUGUCAUUAAAGCCGUAAGGCGCUUGAGGAGGGGCUUGCGUCCGACUAGCUAGUUGGUGAGGUAAUGGCCCACCAAGGCUUCGAUCGGUAGCUGGUUUUAGAGGAUGAUCAGCCACACGGGGACUGAGACACGGCCCCGACUCCUACGGGAGGCAGCAGCAAGGAAUAUUGGGCAAUGGGCGAAAGCCUGACCCAGCGACACCGCGUGGGGGAAGACGGCCUUCGGGUUGUAAACCCCUUUUAUUGGGGAAGAAUAAUGACGGUACCCGAUGAAUAAGCCCCGGCUAACUACGUGCCAGCAGCCGCGGUAAUACGUAGGGGGCGAGCGUUAUCCGGAUUUACUGGGCGUAAAGCGGGUGUAGGUGGCUUGGCAAGUCCGGUGUGAAAUCUCCCGGCUUAACUGGGAGGGUGCACUGGAUACUGUUAGGCUAGAGUGCAGUAGAGGGAAGUGGAAUUCCCGGUGUAGUGGUGAUAUGCGUAGAUAUCGGGAGGAACACUAGUGGCGAAGGCGGCUUCCUGGGCUGUAACUGACACUGAGACCCGAAGGCGUGGGGAGCAAACAGGAUUAGAUACCCUGGUAGUCCACGCAGUAAACGAUGGGUACUAGGUAUGGGGAGUAUCGACCCUCACCGUGCCGAAGCUAACGCUUUAAGUACCCCGCCUGGGGAGUACGGUCGCAAGACUAAAACUCAAAGGAAUUGACGGGUGCCCGCACAAGCAGCGGAGCGUGUGGUUUAAUUCGAUGCAACACGAAGAACCUUACCAAGGCUUGACAUGUCUGAAGUAGCGAACCGAAAGGGGAGCGACCUGUAAAGUCAGGAGCUUACACAGGUGCUGCAUGGCUGUCGUCAGCUCGUGCCGUGAGGUGUCGGGUUAAGUCCCAUAACGAGCGCAACCCCUGUUGCCAGUUGUUUUCUCUGGCGAUACUGCCCCGCACAACGGGGAGGAAGGCGGGGAUGACGUCAAGUCAGUAUGGCCUUUAUGCCUUGGGCUACACACACGCUACAAUGGGUGGCACAAUGGGUUGCAAUGGAGUGAUCCGGAGCUAAUCCUUCAAAACCAUCCUCAGUUCGGAUUGCAGGCUGAAACUCGCCUGCAUGAAGUUGGAGUUGCUAGUAACCGUGCACCAGCUUGGCACGGUGAAUACGUUCCUGGGCAUUGUACACACCGCCCGUCACGUCAUGAAAGUCGGCAACACCUGAAGUCGAUGAGUUAACCCUUCGGGGAGGCAGUCGCCUAGGGUGGGGUCGGUGAUUGGGACGAAGUCGUAACAAGGUA